GAUUAACGCUGGCGGCGUGCCUAACACAUGCAAGUCGAACGAUGAAACCUAGUCUACUUCUUCGCAAAUACAUUAAGCGGAUUAGUGGCGAAUGGGCUAGUAACGCGUGCGUAACCUGCCUUACUAAUGGGGUUAGCCUUUGGAAACGGAGAAUAAUACCCUAUAAAACCAUACACGCACAUGCUAGAAUGGUCAAUGUGAUAGCGGUGUAAGAUGGACUUGCGUCUGAUUAGCUAGUGGGUGAGAUAAAAGCUCACCAAGGCAAGGAUCAGUGGCCGGCUGGGGAGAGGGUACGGCCAAAUUGGGACGGAGACACGGCCCGGACUCCUACGGGAGGAAGCAGGGGGGAAUUUAGCAAAAGGGGGGAAACCCGGAUGCAGCGACGCCGCGGGAUUAAGAAGGCCUUAGGGUUGUAAAAAUCUUUUGGAUGGGAAGAAAAUGACAGUACUAGAAGAAUAAGGCCCGGCUAAUUACGUG
rnacentral:rRNA from 1 species